rnacentral:rRNA from 1 species
CCUACGGGCGGCAGCAGUGGGGGAUAUUGCACAAUGGGGGGAACCCUGAUGCAGCGACGCCGCGUGAGUGAAGAAGUCUUUCGGUAUGUAAAGCUCUAUCAGCAGGGAAGAAGAACGACGGUACCUGACUCAGAAGCCCUGGCUAACUACGUGCCAGCAGCCGCGGUAAUACGUAGGGGGCGAGCGUUAUCCGGAUUCACUGGGUGUAAAGGGAGCGUAGACGGCCAUGCAAGCCAGGGGUGAAUGCCCGGGGCCCAACCCCGGGACUGCCCUUGGAACGGCAGGGCUGGAGUGCGGGAGGGGCAGGCGGAAUUCCUGGUGUAGCGGUGAAAUGCGUAGAUAUCAGGAGGAACACCGGCGGCGAAGGCGGCCUGCUGGACCGCGACUGACGUUGAGGCUCGAAAGCGUGGGGAGCGAACAGGAUUAGAUACCCUGGUAGUC